GAAGAGUUUCAUAAACUGGAGACUGGAUGCUAUUUCUACUAUAAUUCACCCCAGGGGGCUGCUUUUUCCCAUCUCUCCUCCCUAGUAUUUUGCUAGCUAAUGCCAAAAAUGUUGACCCUCCACUCUGCCCUCAAAGAAACCCUCCUGCCAGGGCUGGUGGCUACAGCUUUCAGCCACACACACUCAGGAAUCAGCAGUUCUUUGAGAAGUCAGCAGGAGAAUGGAUAUCCUGGUCACAAAGGCCAAUGGUUGUGGACUUUCUGAAGAUAGAAUCAACAGUUGGUGAUGGUUAGCCAAGAUUAACUUCUGCUUCCAACUCCAAUUAAAAUUCUUUGUAAC
rnacentral:lncRNA from 1 species